UCAGAAGCAGCAGAAGUGGGAGGCCAGUUAGAAAUAGCUUUUUAUUGACAAACUUAGAUUUUAGAGGAAAGUCUUCUAACAAAGCCUUAGCUUGAGUCAUUUCGCAGCAGAUCGGUUGAAAUGCACACAUGAAGGAUAAGUAAUUUUUGCUUGAGCCUAACCACAAAGUAAAUUGGUUUAAAUGCUAGUGCUGAUGAUGCCUGGUAACAAAGGCCUGUUGGCAGGAGCUGGCUGAUGUGAAUGUGUACUGUGCAUCUGUGUAUUUCUGAGAGCAGUAAGAAACGUCAGGACUCUUGGAAAGGGUGGAUAACAGCAGGACAAGGGGAAAUGGUUUGGAGUUGAGGGAGGGCAGAUGGAGGUUGGAUGUCAGGGGGAAGUUGUGUGCUGUGAGAGUGGUGAGGUGCUGGAACAGCUGCCCAGAGAGGCUGUGAUGCCCCGUCCAUCCCUGGAGGUGUUGAAGGCCAGGUUGGAUGGGGCCCUGGGCAGCCUGGGCUGCUGUGAAAUGUGGAGGUUGGUGGCCCUGCAUGGCACAGGGGGGUUGGAGCUUCGUGAUCCUUGAGGUCCCUUCCAACCCAGGCCGUUCU